UUUUCCACCUUCUCAUU
rnacentral:sRNA from 1 species